AGUGGCGAACGGGUGAGUAAUACAUCGGAACGUGCCCUGUAGUGGGGGAUAACUAGUCGAAAGAUUAGGUAAUACCGCAUACGACCUGAGGGUGAAAGUGGGGGACCGAAAGGCCUCAUGCUAUAGGAGCGGCCGAUGUCUGAUUAGCUAGUUGGUGAGGUAAAGGCUCACCAAGGCGACGAUCAGUAGCUGGUCUGAGAGGACGAUCAGCCACACUGGGACUGAGACACGGCCCAGACUCCUACGGGAGGCAGCAGUGGGGAAUUUUGGACAAUGGGCGAAAGCCUGAUCCAGCAAUGCCGCGUGUGUGAAGAAGGCCUUCGGGUUGUAAAGCACUUUUGUCCGGAAAGAAAUGGCUCUGGUUAAUACCUGGGGUCGAUGACGGUACCGGAAGAAUAAGGACCGGCUA
rnacentral:rRNA from 1 species